GUGCCUAAUACAUGCAAGUCGAGCGAACGGACGAGAAGCUUGCUUCUCUGAUGUUAGCGGCGGACGGGUGAGUAACACGUGGAUAACCUACCUAUAAGACUGGGAUAACUUCGGGAAACCGGAGCUAAUACCGGAUAAUAUUUUGAACCGCAUGGUUCAAAAGUGAAAGACGGUCUUGCUGUCACUUAUAGAUGGAUCCGCGCUGCAUUAGCUAGUUGGUAAGGUAACGGCUUACCAAGGCAACGAUGCAUAGCCGACCUGAGAGGGUGAUCGGCCACACUGGAACUGAGACACGGUCCAGACUCCUACGGGAGGCAGCAGUAGGGAAUCUUCCGCAAUGGGCGAAAGCCUGACGGAGCAACGCCGCGUGAGUGAUGAAGGUCUUCGGAUCGUAAAACUCUGUUAUUAGGGAAGAACAUAUGUGUAAGUAACUGUGCACAUCUUGACGGUACCUAAUCAGAAAGCCACGGCUAACUACGUGCCAGCAGCCGCGGUAAUACGUAGGUGGCAAGCGUUAUCCGGAAUUAUUGGGCGUAAAGCGCGCGUAGGCGGUUUUUUAAGUCUGAUGUGAAAGCCCACGGCUCAACCGUGGAGGGUCAUUGGAAACUGGAAAACUUGAGUGCAGAAGAGGAAAGUGGAAUUCCAUGUGUAGCGGUGAAAUGCGCAGAGAUAUGGAGGAACACCAGUGGCGAAGGCGACUUUCUGGUCUGUAACUGACGCUGAUGUGCGAAAGCGUGGGGAUCAAACAGGAUUAGAUACCCUGGUAGUCCACGCCGUAAACGAUGAGUGCUAAGUGUUAGGGGGUUUCCGCCCCUUAGUGCUGCAGCUAACGCAUUAAGCACUCCGCCUGGGGAGUACGACCGCAAGGUUGAAACUCAAAGGAAUUGACGGGGACCCGCACAAGCGGUGGAGCAUGUGGUUUAAUUCGAAGCAACGCGAAGAACCUUACCAAAUCUUGACAUCCUUUGACAACUCUAGAGAUAGAGCCUUCCCCUUCGGGGGACAAAGUGACAGGUGGUGCAUGGUUGUCGUCAGCUCGUGUCGUGAGAUGUUGGGUUAAGUCCCGCAACGAGCGCAACCCUUAAGCUUAGUUGCCAUCAUUAAGUUGGGCACUCUAAGUUGACUGCCGGUGACAAACCGGAGGAAGGUGGGGAUGACGUCAAAUCAUCAUGCCCCUUAUGAUUUGGGCUACACACGUGCUACAAUGGACAAUACAAAGGGCAGCGAAACCGCGAGGUCAAGCAAAUCCCAUAAAGUUGUUCUCAGUUCGGAUUGUAGUCUGCAACUCGACUACAUGAAGCUGGAAUCGCUAGUAAUCGUAGAUCAGCAUGCUACGGUGAAUACGUUCCCGGGUCUUGUACACACCGCCCGUCACACCACGAGAGUUUGUAACACCCGAAGCCGGUGGAGUAACCUUUUAGGAGCUAGCCGUCGAAGGUGGGACAAAUGAUUGGGGUGAAGUCGUAACAAGGUAGCCGUAUCGGAAGGUGCGGCUGGAUCACCUCCUUUCU
rnacentral:rRNA from 1 species